rnacentral:rRNA from 1 species
UCGCGAAAACUUUGCAAUACACGAAAGUGUGACAGGGUCAUCCCGAGUGCCGUCCGCUGAGGAUGGCUUUUACUCAGUCUAGAAAGCUGAGGGAAUAAGGAGAGGGCAAGUCUGGUGUCAGCCGCCGCGGUAAUACCAGCUCUCCGAGUGGUGUGGAUGUUUAUUGGGCCUAAAGCAUCCGUAGCUGGCUGGGCAAGUCCCCUGUUAAAUCCACCGAUUUAAUCGUUGGUUUGCGGGGGAAACUGCUCGGCUAGGGGACGAGAGAGGUAGACGGUAUUUCCGGGGUAGGGGUGAAAUCCUAUAAUCCCGGGAAGACCACCAGUGGCGAAGGCUGUCUGCUAGAACGCGCCCGACGGUGAGGGAUGAAAGCUGGGGGA